CUGUCACACAUGCGCAGGUAUUGAUAGCAUAUGUCCAUACAUUUCGUGUGGUUUGCUCAAAUUUUUAUGGGUUUAAUAUUUUGCACCUUCUAUGAAAACUGGUUUGCUGCUAGAUAACUGUAUAAGUGAGAUUUGAUAAAUGAUCAUAUAUUAACAUUAUGGUUGAAACAAUAGACAAAGGGUAACCGGGGAGAUAAUUACAAAAGUGUAGUCAAGUGAUUAACUAAUAAUUAUUCAUAAGUUUUGCAGUUCUUGGCUCUUAUGACUAGAUGUUCCUGUACGCUAGAUGAGAACAACGUUGAAACUGACCACAUGUGAUUGAAACUGCGUUAAGCUUCAAGAUCAAAGAACAAGGACAAGAAUAAAGACUUCAAGGACAGCCAACAAGAACUUCAAAUGGGUCGGUGGUCGCAAAAGCAGCCCUUCGACUCAAAUGGAUCCUUUAUUGCGCAUGAUUGGAUGUAGGCAGUACUAAGAUAAUCAGUUGCAGUCAUUUUUAUGUAUAUAUAUACUAAUCUGAUUAAUAUGCAAUUAGUUAUUCUAUAUAACCUGUUAGUGCUAAAGCUGUGGUAUGCACGCUAGGUGGAACUAUUCCCCGUGCAUCCAGCACUGCAAUAAAGAAUGCCUGCUUUCUAAAACUCCAAAAUGAGUCUUAGAGAGUUUCUUCGACCGGCUUUUCGGUAACAUUUUGGCACCCCAGAUGGGACGAGCCUUCUGAGACUCGAUGGACAUGGGAUCGCAGGACCUCCAGCCGGCACCGAGAUUUCUUGGGGAGACCCUUGAUCCCCGUUCCCCGGGCUCACAAGCCAAGGCCACUGGAAACUCUUUACAAGAACUUCGUCAGUAUGUCUCCACAGCUGGACCCUUAGAAUUGGACACAGCAGCGCAUCCCUUCCAACCAGGAGAUUGGGUAUAUAUGUUCCUGUACGCUAGAUGAGAACAAUGUUGAAACUGACCACAUGUGAUUGAAACUGCCUUAAGCUUCAAGAUCAAAGAACAAGGACAAGAAUAAAGACUUCAAGGACAGCCAACAAGAACUUCAAAUGGGUCGGUGGUCGCAAAAGCAGCCCUUCGACUCAAAUGGAUCCUUCAUUGCGCAUGAACGGAUAUA